rnacentral:rRNA from 1 species
CCGCCCGUCACACCAUGGGAGUUGGCUUUACCCGAAGAUGGUGCGCUAACCUCGCAAGAGGAGGCAGCCAGCCACGGUAGGGUCAGCGACUGGGGUG